AGGCGGUUAGUCCAAAGAAGACCUUUGAUUUCGGCUCAAAAAAUCAUGGUUAAACCCCAUGACCUCCUU
rnacentral:tRNA from 1 species